rnacentral:rRNA from 1 species
UGAACGCUAGCGGCAGGCCUAACACAUGCAAGUCGAACGGUAACAUGGAGAAGCUUGCUUUUCUGAUGACGAGUGGCGCACGGGUGCGUAACGCGUAUAGAACCUACCCUUUACAGGGGGAUAGCCCGGAGAAAUUCGGAUUAAUACCCCAUAGUACUAUUUAGAGGCAUCUUUAGAUGGUUAAAGAGAUUCGGUAGAGGAUGGCUAUGCGUCCUAUUAGUUAGUAGGUGAGGUAACGGCUCACCUAGACUUCGAUAGGUAGGGGCCCUGAGAGGGGGAUCCCCCACACUGGUACUGAGACACGGACCAGACUCCUACGGGAGGCAGCAGUGAGGAAUAUUGGACAAUGGUCGAGAGACUGAUCCAGCCAUGCCGCGUGCAGGAAGACUGCCCUAUGGGUUGUAAACUGCUUUUUUACGGGAAGAAUAAUGCCCACGUGUGGGCAGAUGACGGUACCGUACGAAUAAGGACCGGCUAACUCC